rnacentral:tRNA from 1 species
ACCCGUGUAGCUCAGUCGGUAGAGCGCUGGCCUUUUAAGCCAGUGGUCGUGGGUUCGAGCCCCACGGGGGGUG